AGAUAAAGUUAAUUCUAGCUUAGAAAUUUAUAAGUUAUUGUAUGCAUAUACGAAUAUUUGAGUGAAUACUAGAGUAAAUUAAAUAUUUAUCUAAAUUUAAUUAAAGUAAUGUAUAAAAUUAGAUAUUUAAGAAAUUAAGAUUUAUAAAUAAUUUUUUUAUUAACAAAAAUUGUGCCAGCAGUUGCGGUUAUACAAUUAAUACCUAAAAUUUAAAUUGAUUUGAAAUUAAAUAAUUAAUUUAUUUGAGUUAAAUGUAUGCUUAUUAAGUGAAAUUUUUAAGUAAAAAAUAUCUCAGGUAAAGUAAAAUUUUUAUUUUUCUCAACUCUGAUUAUAAAAUAGGAUUAGAUACCCUAUUAUUCAGGAUUAUGGUUUAAUCAAAUAAGUAAAUUUAAUAUAGUUGAAAUUUAAAGAAUAUGGCAGUAUUUUAUUCAAGUUAGAGGAACCUGUUUUUUGAUAAUCCACGAUUAAUUUUACUUAACUUUAUUUAAUUUAUAUAUCGUCGUUAUAAAAGUUUUUUAUAAGAAUUUAAAAAAUUUUUUAAUUAUCAUUUAAUUUAAAUCAGAUCAAGAUAUAGUUGAUAGUUAAGGUUAUAAUGGGUUAUAAUAAAAAAAUUUUUGGGCGUUUAAAUGAAAUUUUGAACUAAAAUUAGAUUUAAAUGUAAUUAAUUUAAUUUUAUAUUAAUGAUUUUAUGUUUUGUAAUAUGUACAUAUUGCCCGUCGCUCUCAUUAUAAGUUGAGAUAAGUCGUAACAUAGUAGAUGUACUGGAAAGUGUUUCUAGAA
rnacentral:ncRNA from 1 species